UACGAAGGGGGCUAGCGUUGUUCGGAAUCACUGGGCGUAAAGGGCGCGUAGGCGGCCGAUCAAGUCGGGGGUGAAAGCCUGUGGCUCAACCACAGAAUUGCCUUCGAUACUGGUUGGCUUGAGACCGGAAGAGGUAAGUGGAACUGCGAGUGUAGAGGUGAAAUUCGUAGAUAUUCGCAAGAACACCAGUGGCGAAGGCGGCUUACGGGUCCGGUUCUGACGCUGAGGCGCGAAAGCGUGGGGAGCAAACAGG
rnacentral:rRNA from 1 species